GACGAACGCUGGCGGCGUGCUUAACACAUGCAAGUCGAACGGUGAAGCUCCAGCUUGCUGGAGUGGAUCAGUGGCGAACGGGUGAGUAACACGUGAGCAACCUGCCCCUGACUCUGGAAUAAGCGCUGGAAACGGCGUCUAAUACUGGAUACGAGAAGGGUCCGCAUGGGCACUUCCUGGAAAGUUUUUCGGUUGGGGAUGGGCUCGCGGCCUAUCAGCUUGUUGGUGAGGUAAUGGCUCACCAAGGCGACGACGGGUAGCCGGCCUGAGAGGGCGACCGGCCACACUGGGACUGAGACACGGCCCAGACUCCUACGGGAGGCAGCAGUGGGGAAUAUUGCACAAUGGGCGAAAGCCUGAUGCAGCGACGCCGCGUGAGGGAUGACGGCCUUCGGGUUGUAAACCUCUUUCAGCAGGGAAGAAGCGAAAGUGACGGUACCUGCAGAAGAAGCACCGGCUAACUACGUG
rnacentral:rRNA from 1 species